rnacentral:lncRNA from 1 species
CCAGAUUCAAUAUUUGUAAUUUGUACCGUUGGGUGGGCUGGCAAUUUAAAUAUGACCGUUGUAAAUGCGACUUUUUGAGAUCCUCACUUUUACAAUUAACGUAAUUCAUAAAUUAAAUAUUAGUUAGAUGCAAACUAUAGCUCUGCUAUUUAACGUUAUUUACCUAAACUGCCACCUUUGGACAUCUGUGAAUUUUUAAUUUAACUUGGUCUGACACACCGCUCAGUCGCUCACUCAUCUAUACUGUUUUUUUUUUUCAAAGUUCAAACUUCAAACAACCUGCCACAUGGCAAGUUCUUUCAGUCUUACCAUUCUAUUUUGAUUUAAUUACUCACCAUGCCACUUUGACAAAUGAAAUACAGCCGUUGGAGAAGACUGGAAGUUGGGAGAAAAUAUUAUUAUUAUUAUUAUUAUUAUUAUGAAUUUAUGAUGAUGAUGAUUUAUUAUAUCCGAUCAAAAUCAACUUUACCGGAGCCGAUUGAUGGGUUGCAUAUCUUCCAAGUUCGCCGGCGACGGCAAUGC